UACGGAGGGGGCUAGCGUUGUUCGGAAUUACUGGGCGUAAAGCGCACGUAGGCGGAUUAGUAAGUUGGGGGUGAAAUCCCAGGGCUCAACCCUGGAACUGCCUUCAAAACUACUAGUCUUGAGUUCGAGAGAGGUGAGUGGAAUUCCGGGUGUAGAGGUGAAAUUCGUAGAUAUUCGGAGGAACACCAGUGGCGAAGGCGGCUCACUGGCUCGAUACUGACGCUGAGGUGCGAAAGCGUGGGGAGCAAACAGG
rnacentral:rRNA from 1 species